GGGGGGGGGGGGCAAUAUACAUACUGACAACUAGUGACAUUUGGGAGAAGAAAAUAAAAGCGAGGGAAAAAAAACUUUGGUCACAGACUGAUAUCUUAACAUGGGGCUGAGUUGAUAAGUGAUUAUAUUUACUCUUCACAAACACUGUGGUUUGUUGGUGUCUGCUGGCAGGAGCUGCACUCUCAGAUGCAUGGACAGAGGAAUAGCCAGGCUAACAGUGCUGCUGACCCUCCAAUGACCCAGCAUGGUGUGAAACACUCUCACAGGAGUGGCUGCAAAUCCACGUGUGAGUCCCUGCGGGCAAUCAUCCGUCUGUCUCUCGUACACACACACUCACACUCAGAGCUCACCUUUAGGGCAGCCCUGCCUCUCUGAGUACCAGCAUGGAUUAAGCCCUCAUGGGAACUCUGCUCUGUCAACAGUGUCUUAGUACGUCAGUGCUUUAUCAACAGCUAAUCCAGCAUCUACCAUCAGAGACUUCUCUGUGAACCCUGAAGACAUGCACGUAGUCAGAAAGCACAGCAGUCUUCUGAAAAAGUUUUCCGAACGAUCACAUCCUCUCUCACUCAAGAAAGGAUAUCAAAAGUAUCAUCACAGGAGCCAAUAAUGUGUACCAAAAACAUGCUCCCAUCCCAGAAACAUGAAAAAGUGGGCCUCAAAAGUGUCACUUAGUGAAUUUGGCCCCUCCUGUCGUCAUCACAGUAAUAUGAUAGUCGUAUGCUAACUGCUUUAAUAAAAAAUGAUGUAUAAGUGAAAGAAUAAAUAGAAAAUAAAAGCUUCAAAACAUGUUGUACAGAGACUCAAUUUAACUCAAAAAGCAGAUGAUAUUAAAAAUGAUGUUAACUUAAUGCUUGCUUGUUUAGUUUAAUAAUCUGAAAACUAUCAGCUAACCCUCGCUCGUUGAUGCUAUUUGGCCAUGUAACAAGUCAAUGACUGAAGCUUUUCAUUACCCUUUUUAACAUAUGAUACUACGAUUAAUGUUUUAAUAUGAGAUGUAUUUAUCCGUAUUUGACAUUCAUUUGUCUUUCAGUGCUUCUGAUGUAUGGAUGUAUUUUGUUCUAAAGCACUGUAAUUCAGUUUAGCUGUAUUUUUAUUAUUUUCAUUCAUUCUCUGUCAGUUUAAUGUGCCUCCAUGUAAAACAGUUUCACAACGGUCCUUAUGAUAUUAACUCAUAACAUGAGUAUUGUAUCAAAAACAUGGGUUGUUUUAUCAAGCUGAUUAUACCCUCAUGGGGGAUUCUGAAUCAUUCAAAUGCGACAACCCUUUCCGAGAAAUAUUAGCAUUAAAUUAUGGCUUAGAUUCUUAAA